CCCACGGCCCGUCAAGCGAUGAAAUGCCCAGCUGUUGGGGNUGCUUUGGCACCCNCAGUAGCNGCAGCUAACGCUUUUGAGCAUUCCCGGCCUGGGGANGUACGGUUCGCAAGAUUAAAANNNCNAAGGGAAUUGACGGGGGCCCGCACAAGCGGUGGNGCAUGUGGUUUAAUUCGAAGCAACGCGCAGAACCUUACCAUCCUUUGACAUGGCGUGUUACGUGGAGAGAUUCACGGUCCCCUUCGGGGGCGCGCACACAGGUGCUGCAUGGCUGUCGUCAGCUCGUGUCGUGAGAUGUUGGGUUAAGUCCCGCAACGAGCGCAACCCACGUCCUUAGUUGCCAUCAUUCAGUUGGGCACUCUAGGGAGACUGCCGGUGAUAAGCCGCGAGGAAGGUGUGGAUGACGUCAAGUCCUCAUGGCCCUUACGGGAUGGGCUACACACGUGCUACAAUGGCGGUGACAGUGGGACGCGAAGGAGCGAUCUGGAGCAAAUCCCCAAAAGCCGUCUCAGUUCGGAUUGCACUCUGCAACUCGAGUGCAUGAAGGCGGAAUCGCUAGUAAUCGUGGAUCAGCAUGCCACGGUGAAUACGUUCCCGGGCCUUGUACACACCGCCCGUCACACCAUGGGAGUUGGUCUUACCCGACGGCGCUGNAAACAACCGNCGGGGGGGGCAGGCGAUUCUC
rnacentral:rRNA from 1 species